rnacentral:rRNA from 1 species
GAGAUAGCUGGUUCUCCCCGAAAUAGCUUUAGGGCUAGCCUCAGGGAAAAGAUUGCAGGCGGUAGAGCACUGAUCAGGAGAGGGACCUACCCGGUUACCAAACCCAGUCAAACUCCGAAUGGCUGCAAUCAUACCUGGGAGUCAGACUGCGACUAAUAAGGGCCGCAGUCAAAAGGGAAACAGCCCAGACCAUCAGCUAAGGUCCCCAAUGCCGUGCUAAGUGGCGAAGGAUGUGGCAUUUCAUAAACAACCAGGAUGUUGGCUCAGAAGCAGCCACCAUUUAAAGAGUGCGUAAUAGCUCACUGGUCGAGAGACGCUGCGCCGAAAAUGUCCGGGGCUCAAGCACGGAACCGAAGCUAUGGCAUGAUAGCAAUAUCAUGGGUAGGGGAGCGUUCUUAUAAGGAAGAAGCAUGACCGGAAGGACAUGUGGACGAAUAAGAAGUGAGAAUGCCGGUAUGAGUAUCGAAAAGAAAGGUGAGAAUCCUUUCCACCGAAAGCCCGAGGGUUCCUGAGCAACGAUCGUCGACUCAGGGUAAGUCGGGACCUAAGCCGAGGCGAGAAGCGUAGGCGAUGGACAACAGGUUGAAAUUCCUGUACCGGAUCAAGUCGAUCGAGCGAAGGAGCGACGCAGGAGGGCACAUGAUCGCGCGGCUGGAAGAGCGCGUCCAAGUGCGUAUGUUGCAGCAGAGGAAAACCCCUGCAGCUAAAAGCAGAGACAUGAUGGGGAGUUAAAGGAAACUUUGACGAACUCAUGAAUCCCACACUGCCAAGAAAAACUUCUAGCGAGACAAGAUCCGCCCGUACCGUAAACCGACACAGGUAGGCGGGGAGAGAAUCCUAAGGUGCGCGGGAAAACCCUCGUUAAGGAACUCGGCAAAUUGCAUCCGUAACCUAGGGAGAAGGAUGGCCCCCGGUCAGUGAAGAGCAGAAACGCUCAGAGCUAAAAGGGGCGGCAGAAAAGAGGCCCAAGCAACUGUUUACCAAAAACACAGGUGCCUGCGAAAGCGAAAGCUGAAGUAUAGGUGCUGACGCCUGCCCGGUGCCGGAAGGUUAAGGAGAGAAGUUAGCGAAAGCGAAGCAUCGAACUGAAGCCCCGGUGAACGGCGGCCGUAACUAUAACGGUCCUAAGGUAGCGAAAUUCCUUGUCGGGGAAGUUCCGACCCGCAUGAAAGGCGUAAUGAUUUGGGCACUGUCUCAACGAGGGGCCCGGUGAAAUUGAAAUACCUGUGAAGAUGCAGGUUACCCGCGACUGGACAGAAAGACCCCAUGGAGCUUCACUGCAGCUUGAGAUUGAAUCCCGGUGACAGAUGCACAGGAUAGGUGGGAGGCGCCGAAGCAUUGCCCUAGGGCGGUGCGGAGCCGAUGUUGGGAUACCACCCUUCUGUUGCUGAGAUUCUAACGCGAGGAGUAACGACCCUGCGGACCCUCUCAGGCAGGCGGUUUGACUGGGGCGGUCGCCUCCGAAAGAGUAACGGAGGCGCCCAAAGGUUCCCUCAGGCCGGACAGAAACCGGCCGAAGAGUGCAAAGGCAGAAGGGAGCUUGACUGCGAGACCAACAAGUCGAGCAGAGACGAAAGUCGGGCUUAGUGAUCCGGUGGUACUGGGUGGAAAGGCCAUCGCUCAACGGAUAAAAGCUACCCUGGGGAUAACAGGC